GUGCUUGCUUCUACAGCACAUUAAACAUUGGAAGAUACAGAGAAGAUUAGUAUGGUCCCUGCACAAGGAUGGCAUGCAAAUUCAUGAAGUAUUCCACAAUAUA